GCUUGAUCUAAACAAAGAUGAUACCAAGACAAGGAAUGGGUUAGGCAACACAGGAAACAGUACAGCAGACAAUGUUGAAUGGAGUACCUUUCAUGGAGUUUAGCUGACAAGAAAUCUGCAUCGAUUGGCAUAAUCUUUGCUGACCUUCCUUUGUCAUAUGGAGCUGCCUGCUUCAGAUGGAUUAGCUGCCAUUAAAUCUAAGGGUUACUCCAACUAUUCUAAAUGUUACAAUUAAGAAUCAAGAUGUGAGUAGAAGGAAACAGGCGAAUCAGACUGGGACUCCUGAAGCAUCUCAUGGAGGCACCUGUUGUCAGAGCACCAUUUGGUAUCUUCUGAAUCUUGAUCUUCAAUGUUGAGAAAGUUCUUCUGCUCAGUGAAACCAUCAUGAGCACCGAAUUGCAAUAUGGAGGCCGUGCUCAUUCCUUCAUGAUCAACCGAUUCGGUUGUCCUAUCCUGCAAAAAUGCCACAGAUUCACUUUCAGCUCUCAAAUGCAGUUCACAUCAACUCUUCAAUGCAAACAUUGCAUUGUAUCAAGAGUUCAAGACAUGUAUACAAAAUACGAUACUUACCGCUGAAGAAUUCAGCCAUCUUGGAACGACGGAACUUGUUGAUCUUCCUAACUGAAGACACCUGCUCAUGGCAAUAUAUAUCUUCAGAGUUCAGACCGCAUGCAGCUGUGGGUCAGGAUGGUUUAGUGUACAUGCUUGUCUCAAGCUGCUAGUGGAGAAUCUUUGGCCCCAGCUUUGCUUCAAGGAUUAGCCAGGAAUGUGAAGAUGUCAUUUGGCGAAAAGGGACUCCCUGGAAAGCGCAGAUUUAUGCCCAUGACUUGCACAAUUAUGGGUUCUGGACGUUGCUGUGAGAAAGGAAAUCUAUUCUUUCAGAAAUCACACGAUGGUGUCCAGCAUUAGAAUUAGAGCGUUACACUGACGGUCCAAGCGAGUUAAGGCGAUGCCAAUCUACCGGAGUUCUAUGAGUGUUGCGCCGGGAGUAUCAGGCAACCACCAGAGCAACAAGGUUCUACUGGUGAGGACAAACUUGUGUUUGGCUACUUCACGCCCACCGAUGUAGGUGGUAGAAUAGUGCAAACUACUCAUGUGGCAUGCUUUUGGACGGAACCUAAGGGCAUAUGGUUUCACCUAGCUUUUGGUGUUGGUAGGUGUUAUUUUUCCGUUGUGUAGUUUUUCUGAUCUUUUGUUGUAAAUUGUGUAACUGGUUGAAUGCUUAUGAACUUGUAAUAUAAUUUAAUUACUCACUAUUUCUUAAGUAUUGUUG